rnacentral:rRNA from 1 species
CCUACGGGUGGCAGCAGUGGGGCAUAUUGGACAAUGGGGGGAACCCUGAUCCAGCGACGCCGCGUGAGUGAAGAAGUAUUUCGGUCUGUACAGCUCUAUCAGCAGGGAAGAAAGAAAUGACGGUACCUGACUAAGAAGCCCCUGCUAACUACGUGCCCGCAGCCGCGGUAAUACGUAGGGGGCAAGCGUUAUCCGGAUUUACUGGGUGUACAGGGAGCGUCGACGGUUACGCAAGUCAGGAGGGAAAGGCUGAGGCCCAAUCCCCGGACUGCUUUGGAAACUGUAUAACUGGAGUGCAGGAGAGGUAAGUGGAAUUCCUAGUGUAGCGGUGAAAUGCGUAGAUAUUAGGAGGAACAUC